GACGGAGGAUGCAAGUGUUAUCCGGAAUCACUGGGCGUAAAGCGUCUGUAGGUGGUCAAAUAAGUCAACUGUUAAAUCUUGAGGCUCAACCUCAAAAUCGCAGUCGAAACUAUUCGACUAGAGUAUAGUAGGGGUAAAGGGAAUUUCCAGUGGAGCGGUGAAAUGCGUAGAGAUUGGAAAGAACACCGAUGGCGAAGGCACUUUACUGGGCUAUUACUAACACUGAGGCGCGAAAGCGUGGGGAGCGAACAGG
rnacentral:rRNA from 1 species